AGUGAACGCUGGCGGUAGGCCUAACACAUGCAAGUCGAACGGCAGCACAGUAAGAGCUUGCUCUUACGGGUGGCGAGUGGCGGACGGGUGAGGAAUACAUCGGAAUCUACUUUUUCGUGGGGGAUAACGUAGGGAAACUUACGCUAAUACCGCAUACGACCUACGGGUGAAAGCAGGGGAUCUUCGGACCUUGCGCGAUUGAAUGAGCCGAUGUCGGAUUAGCUAGUUGGCGGGGUAAAGGCCCACCAAGGCGACGAUCCGUAGCUGGUCUGAGAGGAUGAUCGGCCACACUGGAACUGAGACGCGGUCCAGACUCCUACGGGAGGAAGCAGUGGGGAAUAUUGGACAAUGGGCGCAAGCCUGAUCCAGCCAUACCGCGUGGGUGAAGAAGGCCUUCGGGUUGUAAAGCCCUUUUGUUGGGAAAGAAAAGCAGCAGGUUAAUACCCCGCUGUUCUGACGGUACCCAAAGAAUAAGCACCGGCUAACUUCGUG
rnacentral:rRNA from 1 species